rnacentral:rRNA from 1 species
UCGAGCGAGUCUGCCUUGAAGAUCGGAGUGCUUGCACUCUGUGAAACAAGAUACAGGCUAGCGGCGGACGGGUGAGUAACACGUGGGUAACCUGCCCAAGAGAUCGGGAUAACACCUGGAAACAGAUGCUAAUACCGGAUAACAACAGAUGAUGCCUAUCAACUGUUUAAAAGAUGGUUCUGCUAUCACUCUUGGAUGGACCUGCGGUGCAUUAGCUAGUUGGUAGGGUAACGGCCUACCAAGGCGAUGAUGCAUAGCCGAGUUGAGAGACUGAUCGGCCACAUUGGGACUGAGACACGGCCCAAACUCCUACGGGAGGCAGCAGUAGGGAAUCUUCCACAAUGGACGCAAGUCUGAUGGAGCAACGCCGCGUGAGUGAAGAAGGGUUUCGGCUCGUAAAGCUCUGUUGUUGGUGAAGAAGGACAGGGGUAGUAACUGACCUUUGUUUGACGGUAAUCAAUUAGAAAGUCACGGCUAACUACGUGCCAGCAGCCGCGGUAAUACGUAGGUGGCAAGCGUUGUCCGGAUUUAUUGGGCGUAAAGCGAGUGCAGGCGGCUCGAUAAGUCUGAUGUGAAAGCCUUCGGCUCAACCGGAGAAUUGCAUCAGAAACUGUCGAGCUUGAGUACAGAAGAGGAGAGUGGAACUCCAUGUGUAGCGGUGAAAUGCGUAGAUAUAUGGAAGAACACCGGUGGCGAAGGCGGCUCUCUGGUCUGUUACUGACGCUGAGGCUCGAAAGCAUGGGUAGCGAACAGGAUUAGAUACCCUGGUAGUCCAUGCCGUAAACGAUGAGUGCUAAGUGUUGGGAGGUUUCCGCCUCUCAGUGCUGCAGCUAACGCAUU